UACGUAGGUGGCAAGCGUUGUCCGGAUUUACUGGGCGUAAAGAGCGCGCAGGCGGUCGUUCAAGUCGCGUGUGAAAGCCCCCGGCUCAACUGGGGAGGGUCACGCGAUACUGAUCGACUCGAAGGCAGGAGAGGGAAGUGGAAUUCCCGGUGUAGUGGUGAAAUGCGUAGAUAUCGGGAGGAACACCAGUGGCGAAAGCGGCUCUCUGGAACGGUACUGACGCUGAGACGCGAAAGCGUGGGGAGCGAACAGG
rnacentral:rRNA from 1 species